rnacentral:rRNA from 1 species
UACGGAGGGUGCAAGCGUUAUCCGGAUUCACUGGGUUUAAAGGGUGCGUAGGUGGGUUGGUAAGUCAGUGGUGAAAUCUCCAGGCUUAACUUGGAAACUGCCAUUGAUACUAUCAAUCUUGAAUACCGUGGAGGUCAGCGGAAUAUGUCAUGUAGCGGUGAAAUGCUUAGAUAUGACAUAGAACACCAAUUGCGAAGGCAGCUGGACUACACGAAUAUUGACACUGAUGCACGAAAAGCGUGGGGGAUCAAACAGGAUU